AUACGUAGGUGACAAGCGUUAUCCGGAUUUACUGGGCGUAAAGAGCUCGUAGGUGGUUUGUCGCGUCGUCUGUGAAAUUCCGGGGCUUAACUCCGGGCGUGCAGGCGAUACGGGCAUAACUUGAGUACUGUAGGGGAGACUGGAAUUCCUGGUGUAGCGGUGAAAUGCGCAGAUAUCAGGAGGAACACCGGUGGCGAAGGCGGGUCUCUGGGCAGUAACUGACGCUGAGGAGCGAAAGCAUGGGUAGCGAACAGGAUUAGAUACCCUGGUAGUCCAUGCCGUAAACGGUGGGCGCUAGGUGUAGGGGUCUUCCACGACUUCUGUGCCGUAGCUAACGCAUUAAGCGCCCCGCCUGGGGAGUACGGCCGCAAGGCUAAAACUCAAAUGAAUUGACGGGG
rnacentral:rRNA from 1 species